GUGCUGGAUUCAGCAGCACAUACACAAAAACUAGCAGGGAGGAUGAACAAGGUCCCUGUGCAAGGAGCAGGGCCUGCAGUGUCAUAAAGUGUCCUCUUACUCU
rnacentral:snRNA from 1 species